rnacentral:tRNA from 1 species
GAUUCCUUAGCUCAAUUGGUAGAGCAUUUCCCUUACAAGGAAGAGGUCGUAGGUUCGAAACCUACAGGAAUCA